UUGCAGUGAGCCGAGAUCAUGCCAUUGCACUCCAGCCUGGUCAACAAGAGCAAAACUCCGUCUCAAAAAAAAAAAAAAAAAUACAAAAUUAGCUGGGUGUGGUGGCGCAUGCCUGUAAUUCCAGCUACUUGGGAGGCUGAGGCAAGAGAAUCGCUCGAACUCCAGAGGUGGAGGUUGUGGUGAGCCAAGACCACGAUCAUGCCAUUGCACUCCAGCCCGGGUAACAAGAGCGAAACUCCGUCUCAAAAAAUAAAUAAAUAAAUAAAAUAAAAUGAGAUACAAGUGUGUAACCAAGCUAACCUAUUCUCAGGACAAAGAUACUGAUUCGACAAUAUCUGGCAUAGUGUGCUUAUAUUUAUUCCUUUCUAUUUGUUCUAAUCUGUCUUUUUCUACCCCUUCUGUAGAUGUGUUACUUCAGAACUUCUACCCUGAAUUUCUCUCCACCACCAAUUCAGCCAGGGAAUGAGGAAGUUCAGGACGUGCCACCUCAAAACAUGCCACCUUUGCUACUUGAUGAUUUGUAUUUAUUUAUUUAUUUAUUUUGAGAUGGGGUCUCUCUCUGUUGCCCAGGCUGGAGAGCAGUGGCGUGAUCUCGGCUCACUGCAACCCCUGCCUCCCGGGUUCAAGCCAUUCUCCCAUCUCAGCCUCUGGAGUAGCUGGGAUUACAGGCGUGCACCACCACGCAUGGCUAACUUUUGUAUUUUUUAAAUUUUUUUUUUUGAGACAGAGUCUUGCUCUGUCGCCCAGGCUGGAGUACAGUGGCAUGAUCUUGGCUCACUGCAAGCUCCGCCUCCCAGGUUCACGCCAUUUUCCUGCCUCAGCCUCCCGAGUAGCUGGGACUACAGGUGCCUGCCACCACGCCCAGCUAGUUUUUUGUAUUUUUAGUAGAGACGGGGUUUCACCGUGUUAGCCAGGAUGGACUUGAUCUCCUGACCUUGUGAUCCACCCGCCUCGGCCUCCCAAAGUGCUGAGAUUACAGGCGUGAGCCACCGCGCCUGACCAACUUUUGUAUUUUUUAGUAGAGACAGGGUUUUGCCAUGUUUGCCAGGCUGGUCUCAAACUUCUGACCUUAGGUGAUCUGCCUGCCUGGGCCUCCCAAAGUGCUGGGAUUACAGGUGUGAGACACCGCAUCCAGCCUAAUUUUUGUAUUUUUAGUAGAGACAGGGUUUCGCCAUGUUGGCCAGGCUGGUCUUGAACUCCUGACCUCAAGUGAUCCACCCACCUCAGCCUCCCAAAGUGCUGUGAUUACAGGUUUGAGCCACCGCGCACAGCCGGGGUAUUCUUUUUCACUUUUCCUGUUCUACUCUUUGGAAUCAAGUUACUCAAUCUAGUUCACUGUCAAGGUGGUUGUAGGGCCCGGCACGCUGGCUCACGUCUAUAAUCGCAGCACUUCAGGAUCCUCAAGAAGGAUCGCUUGAGCCCACGAGUUUGAGACCAGCCUGGGCAACACAGCUAGACUCCAUCUCAAAAUAAAGAGAAACAAAGAUAUUUGUAGGGAGUGGAAUUAAGCCUCACUUCCUCGAAGGAAGAAUAUAUACAUCUAUGAUUUGACCAGUCCAUCAGUAGGAAAAAAUACAACACUGAACAUGUUCUUUCCCUUCUUUUUCUUUUAAAAGGCAGAGUCUUGGCUGGGUGUGGUGGCUUUCGCCUGUAAUCCCAGCACUUUGGGAGCCACCUCACCCGGCCACAACCAGUCACUUUUUUAAAAUUUUGAGAUGGAAUUUUGCUCUUGUCGCCCAGGCUGGAGCACAGUGGCGCGAUUUCGGCUCACUGCAACCUCUGCCUGCCGGGUUCAAGCAAUUCUCCUGCCUCAGCCUCCCAAGUAGCUGGGAUUACAGGCGCCCGCCACCGCGCCUGGCUAAUUUUUGUAUUUUUAGUAGAGAGCGGGUUUUGCCAGGCCUGGGGAAGGGGGAAUGGCUGACUUAUCAAAUUAAUUACACCAUCCAGAAGGGCUUAUUAAACUAGUUUUACUUUAGCACCAUUCUUAGUGGAGCAGGAUUCUUGAUCAUGGGGUGGAAUUUUGUG
rnacentral:lncRNA from 1 species